rnacentral:lncRNA from 1 species
AAACUUCUGUUGACAAAAAAAGCGACCCUUAUAAUUAUAUGGCGGUGGAUGAUUGCAAGAAGCUCGUGCAAUUUGCUAUCGAGGAGCUCGACGACUCGCUCAACAUUGUUGCUGAAACCGAUACCCAGUCACUCCACAAGUAUACCUACGAUCUGUUGAAUUGGCUUUCAGGGGUCUACGCCUACCAAAGCAUAUGCAUUGAUGCCAUCGAAAAGCCAGAGUACAAAUCUGCUAUCGGAAACGGCCUGAUGAACGCCACUCAGCUCACCAGCAAUGCCUUACACAUCGUAGCAGAGAUGUCUAGCUUGUUGAAAGCCUUCAACAUUCAAAUCCCCGAAGAUCACCACGAUAACGACAGCUCUCCUCACCGCCGUCUCCUUGAUUUCAACAAGGUGGACCAGGACGGUUACCCAACAUGGUUCCCCGCUGCUGAUCGCAAGCUAUUGGGGAAAUCCAAAGAAGGAAAAGGAAAGGGAGGAAAAGGUGGUGAUGCUGGUCCCCCACUACCCCCAGUCGGAUCAGGCCCAUUAACUCCUAACGCAGUCGUUGCCAAGGAUGGAAGCGGCAAAUUUAAGACCGUUAGCGAUGCUGUCAAGGCUUACCCACCAAAUCAUCAAGGCAGAUACAUUAUCUACAUCAAGGCUGGUGUUUACAACGAACAGGUCCUUGUCGACAAAGCACAACCAAACGUCUUCAUGUAUGGUGACGGCGCAGGGAAAACCAUCAUCACCUGUGACAAAAAUUUUGGAAAAAUGAAAAUAACCACCAUGAAUACUGCUACAGUCGGAAAGUAUUUUGUUACUUCGUUAUAUAAGUAUAUCCUAAUCUAGUGUAUGAUUAUAUUAAUUUCUGAUAUGCUGCAAUUUGGCUUGCAGGUGUAAACAGCGCGGAGUUCAUAGCCAAGGGAAUUACGUUCCGCAACACUGCUGGUCCAGUAGGGGAACAAGCAGUGGCACUUAGGAUCUCAGGAGAUAAGGGGGCAGUAUUCGACUGCAGCAUAGAGGGAUUCCAAGACACCUUGUACUACCAAACAUACAGGCAAUUCUACCGCAACUGUGUCAUAUCUGGUACCUUGGAUUUCAUAUUCGGGAGGGGCACUGCUGUGAUCCAGAACAGUGAGAUCAUUUUGAGGAGGCCUCAAAGACUCAAUAGUCAGAACACCAUCACAGCUGAUGGCAAGGAGCAAGAUGUCGGAAUCACUGGAGUGGUAGUGCAGAAUUGCAAGAUCGUAGCAGAACAAUCAUACUUUGCAGAUAGGUUCAAAUAUGAAAAUUACUUAACGCGUCCAUGGAAGAAAUUCUCCACCAAUAUUUUCAUGGAGAACGAGAUCGGUGAUCUUAUUAGGCCCGAGGGAUUUAUGAAAUGGCCAGACAAAGAUUACGAAAAUACAUGCUUUAUCUAUGAGUAUGCCAACAGAGGACCUGGUGCUAACACUAACCGAAGGAGCAAAAUCUUCAAGAAUUACAAGGUCCUUAGUCCACAGGAAGCUACUAAAUACACUGUUGGAACUUUCCUUAGUGCUAAUGAAUGGUUGCCUAGAACAAGUGCACCUUUCUACCUUGGUCUUGGUGGAAAAUAAAUCACAACAAGAAACAAACAAACAUCAUAUUUCAUUCAUCAUUGUACCACCUACUUCUCAACCCUAGCCCCCCUCUAUCUAACCAUGCAAUUUUUGCAUGGGGAUGUUUUUUUUGUUUUGUUUUUUUUUUUUUUGGAGAAGCUAGCAUCUUUUUAUUUAAAAAAUUAGGAAUAAUAUAUAUUUAUGAUAGACACAAUAGAAUUCAUUUCUAUGUAUGUAACGAAUUCAUUGAUUAUAAGACAUGAAAAUUCCAAUGUUAUUUGUUCCUCUUAAUGUCCGUCUCAUUAGUUGUCCUUCCAAAUAUUCCGAAUAUAUAUUUAGUCCUUCCCUAUCGAUCUAACUGAUAUACCUAUGCUUUUUCCUUCAUUGUAUAUAAAAGUCAUUGACAAGCACUGUUGGGUACUAUGUAGUUUUGAUGAUUGACAAACUGACACAUGAAUGAAACAUGUUACUUGAGCUGGUCCACACAUAGGAAAGCAGAUUUUCAGUUUCACUGAUAGAUGCAGACAAGAUUGCUUAAAGAAAGGAACAAAUAAGCAAGCCUAAUUCUAAUAUACUCAAGUUAGUGAUCAUGUGGGGAAUAUAACAAGUUGAAUUUGAUUCAAACACUUAAUGAUAAGGGAAAGCAAGUUGAGUUGAAAAAAGAGUCCUAAGUGUAGAAGAAGUUUCACUUCUGAGUAUAUCCUGAAGAGUUCCAUGUGUGGGAGGAGAAAGAUUCUGAUAAAUAAAUAUGUGCUGAUUUAAAGAGUUGGAGUUUUACUACAACACUAAGCAGACAAGAGUUGGAAUUGAAGAAGGAGUCUCACUUGAAGUAGAACUCUAUGCAAUAAGAGUUAUGAUUGAAGGGGAGUUUGAAAUAAAGAAUGACUCUUUGAAGAGUUGUGCUUAAAUAGAAGAUGCAUCAGUCAGAAUAAACUACGCACUUAAAAAGCAGAAAAGAGCAAUCGACAGAUUGACUUCACGAAGUACUACUCAAUCACUGAAAAAACACAUUGAAGAACCUGGUCCUAAGUAUAGAAUCCAGCUAAGAGUUUUAGCAUUGAUUUUUAGAGUAGUUCAUUGUGUUUAAACUAUUGAUGUAAUAUUAGUUUCAGUGUGUUAUAAACUGAACCAGGAGCUAGUCUUCGAGUUGGAGAAAACUCAGAGACUUGGGAAACACAUACCUUGGGAGGUGUGUGUGUAGUUAGGAAUUAGAGUUUAUAAUUCCUAGUCGUUGAGUUAAAGGAAUUAGAGUUUAUAAUUCCUAUUUGUUGGUUACAAGAGUUUUGUAAUCGGUCGUUGUUGAGGCUCAAAGUUAUUUAGCGAAGUUGGGAUUAAAUCCUGUAGAGGUGCAGGUCGUGGUUUUUUACACCUUUUGAGCCAAGUGUUUUCCACGUAAAAAUCAUUAUGUUCUUUACUUUCUGUUUACUGCUUCCUUGGAACAUGUCAGGAAACCCGUUCCAUCGAUAGGCAACAGUUAGGCGAAAAUAAGAUAAUCAGUAGGGCACGUACUCUAUAAAGUGGUACCAUAGAAAGGUUGUCUUAAAAAGGGCUAGCACCUAAGACAAAGAUCAAUAUGAUGAAUUUCGCACCACCUACUGGUCACAGUAAAGGUCAAUCCACUAUUAGACCUCCACUCUUUGAUGGUUCUCACUUCAUUUGGUGGAAAGCUGGGAUGGAAACGUUCAUUCAAGGAGAAGACUACGAGUUAUGGGACAGGAUCACUGAUGGUCCUACUAUUCCAAUGAAAUUAGAAAAUGGUGAACGGGUCAAGAAGGUAAGAAGUAAGUUUACCGCUGAUGAAUUAAUGACAUUAAAGAAAAAUGCUAAGGCUAAGAACAUCUUAGUCUGUGGACUAGGAUCGGCUGAAUACAACAGAGUGCCAAAUUGUACCACUGCUAAGAAAAUUUGGGAUGCACUGGUCAAUGCAUAUGAGGGUACCUCUCAGGUAAGAAAAUUUAGGAUUGCUCUUCUCUUUAUUGAAUACGAAGCUUUUAAGAUGAAGGAGAAUGAAACCUUGCAUAAAAUAAUGACAAGGCUUACUGCCUUGACAAAUGAGUUGACUUCUUUGGGAAAAGUUAUCACUGUUGAAGAACUAGUUGAAAGGGUAUUGAGGGUGCUACCAAAAUCAAAAUGGAAUGUUAAAGUAACUAUUAUUAGGGAGGAAAAUAAGGAUCUCACAGGUAUGACACUAGAUGAACUAGUAGGGAAUCUGAGAACUUAUGAAAUGGAAAUUGAUGGAACUAAAGAGCUAGCAGCCCCUGAGGAUACCUUAGCUCUGAAGGCAUCUGAUAAUGAUGAAGAAAUUGAACUUGAUGAAAAACAAGUUUCCUUUAUAGCUAAAAACUUCAGCAAAAUCUUUAAAAAGAAGGAGGGAACAGGUACCAAGAAAUGGUCCAAUGACAAUCCAAAUAGAUGCUUCAAGUGUGGUAAGACUGAUCAUCAGAUCAGGGAUUGUCCUGUCUGGCAAAUAGAAUAGAGAAAUAAAAGGGAUGAAAAGGAAUUAAAAAAAAAAAAGAAAGAAUAUGCAGUGGUGGCAGCUUGAGGAUCUGACUCGGAUGAUAAUGAAGUUGAUGAAACAGUACUCAUGGCUCUUGGAGAUUUAAAAUUGGAGCAAGAAGAUGAUGAUUCUGAGGUAAGUAUAUUUGAACUUAAAGAAAAGUUGCAUUUGUUUUCUAAAAUAAAACUUAUUUCCUUAAUGAGUGCUCUAAUUGAUGAUUUCCAAGAAUUAACUUCUGAUAGGGAUGAGUUAUUCAACAAUCUUGCAAGUCUCAAGUUUGAUUUUAUUGAUCUAGAAACUUGUUAGAACACUGUUGAAAAGGAAAACUGCACUCUUAAGGAACAGGUUAGCAGACUUGAUUCAUCAAACCUGACCCUUAAAUCUGAAAUCUUGAAACUCACUCUUUCUGAAAAAAUAAAAAGGGUCAAAAGUGAGGAACAAGAAAAAAUUGAGUCAUAAUUGACUAAGAUUAAACAUGAAUACUUUUGUGAAAAAAAAAGGUUAGUCAAUUGAGUCAAGAAGUUUCUAAAUUGAAACUUGAUCUUGAAAGAGCUAAUAGAUGGACACAUUCUUCAAGAAUUUUUCAUAAGUUAGGUCAAAGAACUCACAAUGAAAAGGUUGGGUUGGGCUUUUAUAAAAGUUCUAAUGCUAUUAAAGAUCUGUGUUAUAUUUGUGGUAACCAGGGGCAUCCAACCAUUGAAUGUCCAGUUUCAGCAAAAAGCAAAUCAAGAAGCAUAAGCUUAGCAAAAAAAUCUGAUUCCAUGUUAGCACAAACUCACAAGAAGAUCAAAUCUGGUCAUAGAAACAAGUCACAUAACCUAUUGCCUCGAUGGGAUAGAAGGAACCUUAUAUAUUAUUUUUCUCAUAAGAAAGGACCCAAGCUUGUCAGGUGCCUAAAGUUAACCCCUAAUUUGUUUUGCAGGUGAGAGUGAAAGGAGGCAAACAAAAUUUGUACAUUGAUAAAGCUUGCUCAAGGUAUAAGACUGGAAGCAAAUAAAGUUUCUUUUACUCAACACAUUUAAAAGGGGAGUGGAUUUUUUUUGAGAUGGCAAAAAAAAAGAAUAACAGUGAAGCUGAUAAGCAUACACGGGAAGAUGUUGUACCAUCUGGUUCAACUAUUGUAUAGACUAAGGGCAUAUUGAUAGGGGAACAAUAAAUCAAGAAAUUGAUACAUCAAUAACACCAACACAAGCUGAUGAUAAUUUUGUUGGUAAUUCAUAAGAAUUGGUGUUGUCACAAGAAUCUUAAGAUAUCUCAUGGGAAUCAAUGGCUUGAGACUAUGGUAUUCAAAUGAAAGUAAUUUCACUUUUGAGGGCUAUAAAAAUAUUGACUAUAGGGGUUACUUAAAUGACUGGAGAAGCACCAAAGGCACUAAGUUAAAAUUGCAUUAACUCCCCUCAAUGAUUGACUAGAAUAACCAUUUUUCUUUUAAAUCUUAUUAGCUAAAAUGUUAUUCUAUUCAGUCUUGCAUAUUUAGUUGUGUGUCCCAAUUCCAGAUUUUUUAAUCUUCUAACCUAAUUUUGUAUUAGAUUGUGCAGAAAAUAGGUACAAGCAAGCAAUUGUAACCACAAAGUUCCUCUUAUCAGGUAUGCUCUACAUUGACAUAAGCAUAGGUUGUCUAAUUUGAAAUAGUUGAGCACACCCAUUCCAUACGUCACACUUCAUCCUCCCCUUGUCCUAUGAUGCUGAUGAAUUGGUUGACUAAUUUUUCUUUGACUCUCUCCAAAUGGUUGUGCACAAAUGUGUUAAUCCUACACCAGAAAUUCCUUCUUCUCUCUCAACCAAAAUAUCAGUUUUGUACCAUGGAUUUAUCAAGCUUGAUCAUCAAUCACAUGCAGCAUAUGUUUCUGAAGAAUGAAAAGGGACAUGCUCUCUCUUUUUUAGUUCCUAAUUGACUCAUAUCUUUUAGGAUUUCUCAAUCCAAGUUUAGGUUUGACUUUUCAAACAACAAUGGAUAUUUUUGAACAAAUGAAUCAUGUUGCUCUACCUGGUUCAAUAAGAAGGGCUAAAAUUCAUUGCAAAAAAAAUAAUGAGAAGAAUGAUUUAGCUGAGAUAAAUUCUGAACUAGAAGAUGCAUCUGACAGUCAUGAAGCAGAAUAAGUGGUUCUUCAGUCUAGGAUCAUGACUUUGAAGCUUGACCUUGAUUGAGAAAGGGAUGAAAAUGUUGAAGUCAUUCGUUAAUUGACACAGUUGAUAACACUUGUUCCACCUUCCUCAUCAGUUCCUCACUAUUCGUAUCCUUAGCCAUGUCCCACUUUUAUACCAUAUUUUUUAUUAAUGCUUAGUUGUUUUGCUUUGUUCAGUACUAGCUUAGGUUAAAUGUGGAACAUGCUCUGGCAGUUGAAUGGAAUGGUUAUCUUUGCUAAAUUAACUCAUAUUUUUGCUUUCUUUAUACAUUACUAUGUUGGCUAAAGUCUUUGUCAGAUUAUUUUGGUGAUAUCCCCAAUGGCCAUGAAUAGCAUAACAAUUCACUUUGGCUAGUAUUAUUGCAUUAAAAUGGUUUUCGAUGAUGCCAAAAUGGGAAAGAUAGGAGGGUUGUACAAUGUUUAUAACCCAUUGACUAACUUUUUUCAUUCUAGUGUUUUAUACUUUAGUGCCUACAGAAGGAGUUUCAAUUCUGAGUAUAUCCUGAAGAGUUUCAUGUGUGGGAGGAGAAAGAUUCUAAUAAAUAAACAUGUGUUGAUUUAAAGAGUUGGAGUUUUACUACAACACUAAGGAGACAAGAGUUGAAAUUGAAGAAUGAGUCUCACUUGAAGUAGAACUCUAUGCAAUAAGAGUUAUGAUUGAAAGGGGAGUUUGAAAUAAAGAAUGACUCUUUGAAGAGUUGUGCUUAAAUAGAAGAUACAUCAGUCAGAAUAAACUACGCACUUAAAAAGCAGAAAAGCACAAUCGAUAGAUUGACUUCACGAAGUGCUACUCAAUCACUGAAGAAACACAUUGAAGAACCUGAUCCUAAGUAUAAUCCAGCAAAGAGUUUUAGCAUUGAUUUUUAGAGUUGUUCAUUAAAUUUGAACUAUUGAUGUACUAUUAGUUUCAGUGUGUUAUAAACUGAACUAGGAGCUAGUCUUCAAGUUGGGGAAAACUCAGAGACUUUGGGAACGUAUACCUUGGGAGGUGUGUGUGUAGUUAGGAAUUAGAGUUUAUAAUUCCUAGUCGUUGAGUUAAAGGAAUUAGAGUUUAUAAUUCCUAUUUGUUGGUUACAAAAGUUUUGUAAUCAGUCGUUGUUGAGGCUCAGAGUUAUUUAGUGAAUUUGGGGUUAAAUCCUGUAGAGGUGCAGAUCGUAUUUUUUUUACACCUUUUGAGCCGGGUGUUUUCCACAUAAAAAUCGUUGUGUUCUUUACUUUCUGUUUUGCUACUUCCUUGGAACAGUCAGGCAACCCGUUCCAUCAAUAUGCAACAAUUAGACAAAAAUAAGAUAAUCAGUAGGGCACGUACUCUAACAAGCAUCAUAAAAACAAUAGAUAAUUUUCUAGAGGUGCCUCUCGGCCCUCUAGGUCAGGUUUGGAAGAGAAAAAAAAAAUUAAUGAGUAGGAUUUAUUUUUAAGGUCUCAUGGCAAUUUCUAUCAAAAAAGAAAUGAUUUAUUUUUUUAAUUUAGUGAAUAUUCAUCAGUUAGCCAAAAGGGAAAAUAUGACUCAUGUUGAAUGACGGGACAUAUGAACCAUCUUUUAAACAAAUGGUUUUAUGGUAUGUCAAUUUUAAAUCACAAAUUGUUUUUCCUUCCAACUCAUCUUUUUUCAUUUUUUUUUCCUUCCGCAGAUCCCUUUCGAUUUCAUUUUUUUACUUUUCUUUCCAUUUCAUCGUCUCAUUCUUUCUUCUUUCCACAAAAUCUCAUUUUCCCAACAAACUCUAUCUUUAGCUCAGCAAUAUAUUUAAUUUUGAUUUAUGGUUCCACAUUUUUCUUAGGUAUCUAUAACAGAUUAUAUUUACCAAAAGAGAUAACUGCAUAGCACAAACCAAAAGAAGACUAGUUAGAGCAUGUCCUAGAGAACCAGAGACGAAAAAACACAAUCUAAGCAUACAAGGGAUGGUAAUUCAGGAUGGCAAUUUCUUUGCUAGUUGGAUCAUAGGCUACCUCUAAUGAUAACUACCUGCAUUAGGUUACUGCUUAUUAUAAGGGGCGAGGGGGGAGGGGGGGGAGGAACAGGACCCUCACAUAAUUUAUUGAGUAUAAAUAAUAUGAAAAAAUUAAGUUCAAGUGUAGUAACACACUCACAUAGUUAGUUUAGUUGUGUAACUGAACAUGACCAUGGUUCAAGGGAUUUCUUAUGCCUUAAUUAUCCCAAUUAUCAAAUUUGAAAGAGAGGUAUUUUUUCUCCGUGAUCUUACGGCCCCACAAGCUAAGGCCAAUGUGAGCUUAAUGAUUAUUAGCCUUCAUUAGAAUUAUGUUAUGGAUGAGGCUCACUCUUCAGGCGAAUAAUUUCACUCAUCAUAUUCUGAUUGUGUGGCAACAUCACAAAAUUUAUCAUGUAUUACGUAGAAUUAGUAGAAGAGAACAAAAAAGUAAAACAAGUCAAUGUAUAACCCAAAUAUCAAAGAAGAAAGAAAAUAUAUCAAAUAGACAAAAUGAGCUAUCUAACCCGAAGGAGAAGUAAGCGAAAAUACAACAGGCCUAAAAGCAAGCCUGGAGUGCUAAUCUAGGAGGUUGGCCUAUAACAUGCAAAGAAAAUAUAUAGGAUUGUGGCGGGAUGAUUGGGAUCCCUCCUUCCUUAAUCAGAGGUUACGAAUCUAAGCUUUACUCAAUUUCACCAUAGUUCAGAGGAUUCCAAUGAAGGUCGAGUGCCAAACCAAUACCGGUCUUGCAGACAAACCUUAAGAGAAGUCUCUCAAUACCCUUUUGAAAGAGUAAAACAUUCGGCAAUAUGCAUAUUGAGUUCGGGUAGGUCAUAUCUUUCUAACGAGAUAAUUCAUCAAGGUUGAUGCAAGAUUAACCACUCAGUUAUUUAAAUUAUGAUCAUAAUAUUUCUUCACAUUUAGUUGCAUUCAAAACCACUCAUGUCGGCAUUGAGUUAUUGGUCAUCCCAUCAUUUUAGAGGUUAUUUUUGUGCCAAACGCUGCUUUUCCUACAUAUUUGUGUUGCCAUGCAAUUUAAGGUUACUACUCUCUUUCAUUCACACUAUAAAAAGCUCCCCGUAACAUAGCAAUUCAAUUAUCCAUCUAUUCUUCAUUUUACUAAUAAAAAUAUAAACACAAACGAGAGGAGUUACCUCGUUGUGGCAACUGCCAUCUUUCCUUUUUUCCUUUCAACAAUUAUUUUAUAGGAAAGAGGGAAAGAAUAUUAUCAAAAACCAAAAAGAGAAAAAGAGAAAAUUUAUAAGAAAAGAAAAGUAUAUAUAAGAAAAACAUCGAAACGAUGGUGGGAAAAAUAGUGGUUUCGUUGGUAUCACUGAUUCUUCUAGUUGGUGUGAUAGUGGGAGUUGUGAUGGUUGUGCACAAAAAUGGGGACAGCAAAGAUGAUAAAAGCACCAAAUUCCAAAUGAAGAAAGUGCAUGAGUUCUGUCAGGCCACUCAAUUCAAAGAUGCAUGUUCCAAAUCACUCGAAGGAGUUGCCAAAAAUGACUCCGCUACUCCACAGGACUACAUUAGUGCUGCCUUCCAGAACACUCUAGAUGAAUUGAAAAAGGGUCUGGCCGAGACUGGAAAAACUUCUGUCGACAAAGACAAGGACCCUUACAAUCAUAUGGCGAUGGAUGAUUGCAAGCAGCUCUUGCAAUUCGCUAUCGAGGACCUCCAGGACUCUCUCAGCGUUGUUGGUGAGAGUGAUACCCAGUCACUCCACCAGUAUACCUACGAUCUGUUGAAUUGGCUUUCAAAGGUCUACGCCUACCAAAGCUUAUGUGUUGAUGCCAUCAACAAUCCAGAGUACAAAUCUGCUAUCCAAAACGACCUGAUGAACGCUACUCAGCUCACCAGCAAUGCCUUACACAUCAUAGC